CGUGUUUCUGCAUCACGCCGUCCCCGACCCUCCGCAACGUUUCCAGCGCUUUCUCCAUGACGGCGCUGCUCGCCCUGCCGGGCCGCCCUGGCCCUCCCAGGAGCCCCGGAAACAGCUUUUUAACGCCGGGCUCGGCCUCUCCCGCCGCCUCCCGGAGGUACCGGAGGAUGAGCUCCAGGGAUUCCUGCCGCAGCUCGUCGGGGAUCAAGUCGGGCAGCUCGGGCGGCGUGCCGGGCAACGAAUCGCCUCCGGGGCCGCGUUCGGACUCGGGCUCGCAGCCGUCCAACUCCUCCUCGGGGCUCCACAGAGCGACGGGCCGCGACGUGGAGUCCGGCGGCGCCCGGCGGGCCGCGGCGGAACCGAUCGGAGCGUGGGGGGCCGCCCCGGAGCCAAUGGGAGCGCGGGGGGCUUCGGCGCGGCCGGCGGCGGCCCACAGCCCCGCGGAGCCAAUCAGCGGCCGCGGUACCUCAGCGACGGUGGCGGCGGCGGCGGCCGGAGCGGCGGCGGCGGGCGGCGGGGUUUGCUCUCCUGCUGGUGAAGCGGGCACCAGGCCCGGGCUUCCUCCGCCGCAGUAGAGGUUGAAGCCGAUGACGGCGUUCCGCUUGACUGCAAACAUGGCGCCCAGCGAGCACCGGCGGCGGGUGGCGCGGGCGGGUAAAGCCGGGACUGUUAUAUGGCCGCGGUGACGCCAUGGGGGGGCGGUUCCGCUUCCGGUGCGGCCCCCGCGGGGGGAGGGGAGCGGGGAGCGGUCGUGCCGCGCUCGGGGUGUCCUCGGGGGGGAGAAGUGGAAUUUGGGGGUGAAAAAGGGCCACAAGGGCCGCUUCGCUCCGCUGCCGGACGCGGGGCCGACCCCCAUCCGCCGGCUGAGGGCCGGGAGCUGCGGCGGAGUCCUAUGGAAGAGGCGGCCGAGGGGAGAACUCAGCGCUCCCUGCGGCUCCGUGGGGGGAGCUGCUGUGCGUUCACCUCAUCGCCAGCCAAGUCCUCGCCUCCACCUGCUGCAGUCACAGCCCCACCUGCAGCUGCCACCCGAGGCAAUGGUGCCAGCCCACAGCACGGGUUGGGGCUGUAAGGUUCCUUCCAAGCCAAGCUGUUCUGGGAGCCAAGCCAAGGACCCCCAGACCUCCCUCCCCACCGCUGUGAAAGGGCCAGGAGGAACGGCGAGGUGCUGCUGUGAAGCGAAGCUCCUGGUGCAGCUCAACCAGCUCCACACUCAGUGGAUUUCUGUGCCCAAAGACGGGCAGGAUGCGGGGAAUUGGACCCCUGAAGAAUCACCCACUCUGGUUGCCCCCUCGGGAGGAGGUGUUUCCCUGCAGGAAGGGCUGUGGUGCUGCUCAGUCCAAAGGUCACUGAAUGCCCAGUGUGGGUGCAGCUAUGGGGGCUGGACUCUGGUUUAACUUUGGAACGUGGGCUCACCCCGAAAACCUUGAGAAAAGGAAAGUGGAAAGCAAACGGCCCCAUGGAAAGGACAAGGGGAACCCCUGAAACCCCUGCCCGACCCAUCGGGAUGGUGGUGUGUGGGAUGGAGGGGAACUCCAGCUGUGGAGAUAAAAUACCAGAGGUGGCUGGGAAACCCCACAGAACCCCUCAAACAGAUCUUCCUCCUCCAGAGGGACAGCAAGGCCCUGGGGAAUUGCCAAUGUGAAGAACUCAACGUGAAGGUGAUUUGGGGGGGCCUGAAAGCACUGCAAACUCACAUCUCUGUCACCAUCUGAAGCGUCACCACCCACUGGCAGAGGAGGAUGCUGUGGUGAGCUCAGGGUGCAGCCCCAUCCCGAGUGUCCCCAACACCCUUUUGCCCCAGACUGUAUAAACAACAGGGUCAGGCGUGAACCCCACACGCCCUUUGCCCUGCUGUGUAGUCCUUCAUGCAGGACCAGGCAACACCAGGGUCUGGAAGGAGAAAUCCCACUCCAGAGCCCUCCCUGUGGCCCCAAGGAAUGCGUCCUUGUUGGGAAACGAAUUCUUGGCACUGGGAGGAAUAACAGAAGCGAGCUCAGCUCGCUCCAGCAGCUCAGGGCAGCGCCCAGCACAUAUUUCCCCAGCAGUGCCAAGCUGUAAAGCACAAACAAACACGGGCACAUACUUGGCACCCAGCUGGAACAGCGUGUCCCUGUGCAAACACCCGGCUCCUGCUUUGAAGUGGGCCAGAGGGGAUGACGAAUGGCUGAUUUGGGGUGGGGGAAAUGGGAACAGGAUGUCUGAUGACGGGAUGACGGGGCUGUGGGGAGGGUCGGCGCAAUGCUUUGAACCCCAGUGACGCCAGCAGCUGGAGGAAGCAAAGUAUGACAUCAGGGUUGAUAACGCGGGCAAGGCUGCAAGCUCACAGCCAGCAGCACAGCCCUGGUGAGGGGAGAUGUCACCACGGGGCAGCUCUGUCCUCUGGGUGACACCAGGAGUCCCUGGUGCAUGGCAUGGAAAGGAAUUGAGAUUCCUUUUGAAAGAGGGGAAAACCCUUCCCCCCCCCCCCCCCCCGUGACUCCCACGAGGUCAGCUGAGACACAACGUGGUGCUGAGGCAGGACAGGAUGCAGCACAGAUACUUCUGCUCUCCACACCUCAAAGAAACCCCUUUAAGCUCAUGGAGCACCAAAAACACCCUUGGAAAGCUGGUGCUGAACACAGGACUUUCCUUCUGCUGGCUCACCCCGCUCUGUCAGCCUAAUCCUUGCAAUACUCAUACUCAGGAGCAGAGGACAAAGGUGCAAACACCCCUAAAACCAAAGGCAGAUUCCAUCAUGCCCUGUCCAGCAAGCAAUGGACGUGGGGACACUGCCCUGCUGCUCCAGGGACAGAACAGACGUCACCCACAGCACGUUAUGGUCGUUGUAAGGAACUUCUGUUGCUGAUUCUCAUCCUGUGUUGUCACAAUCGCUUCCUCCUGCUGCACAAACAUGCUUGGCAUUUCCAGCAAAGGAGGGAAGACGUGCUCAGAGUCAGUCGUUCCCUCCCAGCCCCCCGUGGGCGCAGGUAGCAGCACAGGGGCAGCCCAAAGCUGCAAUACAGCUUUGCAUUUUUCACUAUUUUUUCCUCUUGUUUUUCCUCUCUUUUUUUCGUUUUAAAGCAUAGCACACUAGAAAAGAGGACAGAUGAAGAUGUAAAAAAUUAUAUAUAUAUUUGUAUAUAUGAUUCGUAUCUAUUUACAAUGCAGCUGGGACCAACAGCAGAGCAUCCUAGCAGGCUGCACGGCCAGGCAGCGCAGGGCUGGGCGAGGAGCUGAGCAUGAGGCACAGUGCCUAUCCCUGCCACACUCCUCAGAGCGAAGUCCACGGCUGUGGGGCCACAGCUCCUCGCCCAGAAUCACUGAUUG
rnacentral:lncRNA from 1 species